rnacentral:rRNA from 1 species
GACGAACGCUGGCGGCGUGCUUAACACAUGCAAGUCGAACGGAAAGGCCCUGCUUUUGUGGGGUGCUCGAGUGGCGAACGGGUGCGUAACACGUGAGUAACCUGCCCUUGACUUUGGGAUAACUUCAGGAAACUGGGGCUAAUACCGGAUAGGAGCUCCUGUUGCAUGGUGGGGGUUGGAAAGUUUCGGCGGUUGGGGAUGGACUCGCGGCUUAUCAGCUUGUUGGUGGGGGAGUGGCUUACCAAGGCUUUGACGGGUAGCCGGCCUGGGAGGGUGACCGGCGACAUUGGGACUGAGAUACGGCCCAGACUCCUACAGGAGGCAGCAGUGGGGAAUAUUGCACAAUGGGCGGAAGCCGGAGGCAGCAACGCCGCGUGCGGGAUGACGGCCUUCGGGUUGUAAACCGCUUUCGCCUGUGACGAAGCGUGAGUGACGGUAAUGGAUGAAGAAGCACCGGCUAACUACGUG